AAUUAAGUUAAAGAUCUUGAGAUGCAGACAUUCUCUGGAUUAUCCAGGUGGGCUUGAUGUAAUCACAGGGUCUUUAUAAGAGGAAAGCAGGAGAAUCAAGAGAUGUAGAGUAGAAGAUGUGAUUACGGAAGCAGAGUUGCAGUGAUGCCGGAAAGGACCGUGAUUCAGAUGACCUCUGGAAGAAGGAAGAGUUUUCUCAGGUUGGGUUUAGGAUAUGAGAUGUUUAUUAGGAAUUGACAUCUAGGAAAAGAAGACGGAGGAUUACUGCUGGGCAGAGGGAGAAGUUGAACUGCAAUGCAGCCUGAGAACCCCUCACCCAACACAGUGGAGCACCCUAGAGAGAGCACUAUCCAUUAAAGUUGUCCAACAUUGGGUCAAGAUACCCAAGCCUUUAUGCUGGUGCCUCACUCAGUCACCAGAUAUGGGCUGCCUGGGAGGAGCAUGACCUUGGACAAGGUGGUUCUCUGAAGCUCAGGUAGACACCAGAGGAAGUGGAGACACUGCUCACAGUUGACUGGCAAUUCCUUCCUUGGAGGGGAAUCCAUGCAACACAUCUCUGGAGAUGUGUCCAUUGCCUCUGUUACAUCAUUUAGCUGGGACGACACCACAGCAUGGCUUGAUGAGCAGUGUGUAGGUCCAUGCCCAGGAUCCAAACCUGCAAACCCUGGACUGCAGAAGUAGAGCGUGCAAACUUAACCUCUAUGCCACCAGGCCAGCCUCUCAUCUGACUUUCAUUUUUUGACUUGUCUGCCUUUAAGCUGUUUAAGUUUCUGAGCUCCAUUUUACUCUUGUGAUUUCUAGAAUAAUUUUUUUUUAGUCAAGAAGGCAGUAUGAUUAAUAUAAGAGCUAUCAAUUUCAUGACCAGAAAUCUAUGAAAUGACCAGCUCAUUAGUUUAAGGACCUAUGGUGUGUGUCUUUUUUCUUUCUUUUUUAACUAACUCAAAAACUUUCAGCAAAA
rnacentral:lncRNA from 1 species